AAAUUGAAGAGUUUGAUCAUGGCUCAGAUUGAACGCUGGCGGCAGGCCUAACACAUGCAAGUCGAGCGGUAGCACAGAGAGCUUGCUCUCGGGUGACGAGCGGCGGACGGGUGAGUAAUGUCUGGGAAACUGCCUGAUGGAGGGGGAUAACUACUGGAAACGGUAGCUAAUACCGCAUAACGUCGCAAGACCAAAGUGGGGGACCUUCGGGCCUCAUGCCAUCAGAUGUGCCCAGAUGGGAUUAGCUAGUAGGUGGGGUAACGGCUCACCUAGGCGACGAUCCCUAGCUGGUCUGAGAGGAUGACCAGCCACACUGGAACUGAGACACGGUCCAGACUCCUACGGGAGGCAGCAGUGGGGAAUAUUGCACAAUGGGCGCAAGCCUGAUGCAGCCAUGCCGCGUGUGUGAAGAAGGCCUUCGGGUUGUAAAGCACUUUCAGCGGGGAGGAAGGCGGUGAGGUUAAUAACCUCAUCGAUUGACGUUACCCGCAGAAGAAGCACCGGCUAACUCCGUGCCAGCAGCCGCGGUAAUACGGAGGGUGCAAGCGUUAAUCGGAAUUACUGGGCGUAAAGCGCACGCAGGCGGUUUGUUAAGUCGGAUGUGAAAUCCCCGGGCUUAACCUGGGAACUGCAUUCGAAACUGGCAGGCUAGAGUCUUGUAGAGGGGGGUAGAAUUCCAGGUGUAGCGGUGAAAUGCGUAGAGAUCUGGAGGAAUACCGGUGGCGAAGGCGGCCCCCUGGACAAAGACUGACGCUCAGGUGCGAAAGCGUGGGGAGCAAACAGGAUUAGAUACCCUGGUAGUCCACGCCGUAAACGAUGUCGAUUUGGAGGUUGUGCCCUUGAGGCGUGGCUUCCGGAGCUAACGCGUUAAAUCGACCGCCUGGGGAGUACGGCCGCAAGGUUAAAACUCAAAUGAAUUGACGGGGGCCCGCACAAGCGGUGGAGCAUGUGGUUUAAUUCGAUGCAACGCGAAGAACCUUACCUGGUCUUGACAUCCACAGAACUUUCCAGAGAUGGAUUGGUGCCUUCGGGAACUGUGAGACAGGUGCUGCAUGGCUGUCGUCAGCUCGUGUUGUGAAAUGUUGGGUUAAGUCCCGCAACGAGCGCAACCCUUAUCCUUUGUUGCCAGCGGUUAGGCCGGGAACUCAAAGGAGACUGCCAGUGAUAAACUGGAGGAAGGUGGGGAUGACGUCAAGUCAUCAUGGCCCUUACGACCAGGGCUACACACGUGCUACAAUGGCAUAUACAAAGAGAAGCGACCUCGCGAGAGCAAGCGGACCUCAUAAAGUAUGUCGUAGUCCGGAUUGGAGUCUGCAACUCGACUCCAUGAAGUCGGAAUCGCUAGUAAUCGUAGAUCAGAAUGCUACGGUGAAUACGUUCCCGGGCCUUGUACACACCGCCCGUCACACCAUGGGAGUGGGUUGCAAAAGAAGUAGGUAGCUUAACCUUCGGGAGGGCGCUUACCACUUUGUGAUUCAUGACUGGGGUGAAGUCGUAACAAGGUAACCGUAGGGGAACCUGCGGUUGGAUCACCUCCUUACCUUAAAGAA
rnacentral:rRNA from 1 species